GGCCUUGGUUUGGUUCACAGGUCAGAAGCAGCCACUUGUGCGUCGGUGCCCGGUGAUGUGUCUAAGAUGCGGCUGGUCUGAAACUCACUGUCUACCAGAUGAUGACUUUGAACUUCAGAUCCUCCUGCCUCCACAUCUUGAAUGCUACAUCACAGGCAUGCAUGCACCAUGACACCUUGUGUACGCAGUGCUGGAGAUGUGCAAGUGCCAACGCUUCUUGUGUGCCAGGGGAGCGUUCUACUGACUGAGCUGCCUCCCUAGGCCUUAAUUCCAUUUUUUGAAAAUUAAAAUAUUGGGAUCAUCCAAAAAUAAAAGACAACGAGUGUAAAUCCUCAAGAUACAUUG
rnacentral:lncRNA from 1 species